UACGUAGGGUGCGAGCGUUGUCCGGAAUUAUUGGGCGUAAAGGGCUCGUAGGCGGUUUGUCGCGUCGGGAGUGAAAACCUCGGGCUUAACUCGGGGCUUGCUUUCGAUACGGGCAGACUAGAGGUAUGCAGGGGAGAACGGAAUUCCUGGUGUAGCGGUGAAAUGCGCAGAUAUCAGGAGGAACACCGGUGGCGAAGGCGGUUCUCUGGGCAUGAUCUGACGCUGAGGAGCGAAAGUGUGGGGAGCGAACAGGA
rnacentral:rRNA from 1 species